ensembl:lncRNA
UAUGUGGGAAGGGGGGGGGGGGGCAUUUUUUGGUAAAUGACUGUGAUUAAGUGAAGAUUACAACAACACGAGAUGUCGCUCAGUGAUAUCUCUCCGAGAACAUCUGCCAUGCAGUCGGAGAGACCUGAGGCAAGGGGCACGCGAGAAUGGGCGCGAACUUGUCCCUCUUCAGUCUUAGCAUCUGAAUCACACCAGGCGUUGGUUGGGUGCCAGCUCGUGGGCCAUCUGGAUCCCUUUAACCCUGGAGAUGACAGAUGUGGCAACCGGGGACUUUUCAUUUGAGAUUCAGCUGGAUUCUUUCUCUUUUCCUCCCUCUCUCUCUUUUUUUUCUCUCUCGCUGUCUGGAAACGUCAAGUGGUGUGAUGCUCUCUCUCACAUUUCCUGCCUCUCACAAGUCAGGAAAAUGAGCCUAUCAAAUUGGCAUGAAUUGCUCAAAUUAAAUCAACUUUAAUUCUGCUACAGGAGGAGGGGGGAACUGGAAAUAUGGAAAACCUAUGGCGGUGCCUGCCGAAAUGUUUCCCCAAUAUCCUGUCGUGUCCUUUUUUGGUGCAUCUGUCGCCAAAACAUCUCACUGUUCCAUAAAACCACCGAAAAAAAAACCUCUCUCCAAUCUCAGGCAAAUUUCUGCAUCUAACGUAGUUCACCUCCGCAUGAGUUCAUCAGCCGCUGGUCCAGUGGGCCAUGUGGAGGUGCUAGUGCAUCUACUGAGGCAGUUAUGUGAGAUGGUCAGCCAUGGUGGAGGUGUUAAUGCCAUCUUCUGAGGCAGUUAUGUCAGAUGGUCAGCCAUGGUGGAGGUGUUAAUACCAUCUUCUGAGGCAGUUAUGUCAGAUGGUCAGCCAUGGUGGAGGUGUUAAUGCCAUCUUCUGAGGCAGUUGUGUCAGAUGGUCAGCCAUGCAGUUAGGAAGAGGUCUGAGACACUGGACUACCUGGCCGCCAAGGACUCUGUCUCCCCCCUCCUGAUUACCCAGCACCUCUCCCCCAUUGGCUAGCGCCGUGGAGGCCCUGCCAGGGAAAUUGCAGUCUAGCCUUCACCCUCCUUUUGUCAUCUCAAGCUCUGUAUCCCAUCCUCUGGCCGCACCUCUCGGGCUCGUGCUGUCUUUACCCAAAUGACAGUGUUUUUGUGGAAGUAAUGGUGCUCAUUUUCCCAGCAGCACCCGGCAAUGGCUUCACUUAUCAUCAGACAUGACGGGAGUUG